GGAGGUGUAGCUCAGUGGUUUGAGUACCUGCUUCCGAUGUAUGAGGUCCUGGGUUUAAUCCCUAGUGCCUCCA
rnacentral:tRNA from 1 species